CCAGAGAACUUAGCAGAGAUGCUUUGGUGCCUUCGGGAACUCUGAGACAGGUGCUGCAUGGCUGUCGUCAGCUCGUGUCGUGAAAUGUUGGGUUAAGUCCCGCAACGAGCGCAACCCUUAUCCUUUGUUGCCAGCGGCUCGGCCGGGAACUCAAAGGAGACUGCCGGUGAUAAACCGGAGGAAGGUGGGGAUGACGUCAAGUCAUCAUGGCCCUUACGGCCAGGGCUACACACGUGCUACAAUGGCGCAUACAAAGAGAAGCGACCUCGCGAGAGCAAGCGGACCUCAUAAAGUGCGUCGUAGUCCGGAUUGGAGUCUGCAACUCGACUCCAUGAAGUCGGAAUCGCUAGUAAUCGUAGAUCAGAAUGCUACGGUGAAUACGUUCCCGGGCCUUGUACACACCGCCCGUCACACCAUGGGAGUGGGUUGCAAAAGAAGUAGGUAGCUUAACCUUCGGGAGGGCGCUUACCACUUUGUGAUUCAUGACUGGGGUGAAGUCGUAACAAGGUAGGCGUAGCGAG
rnacentral:rRNA from 1 species